CCAAAAGAGUCAGUCAAUGCGAUUACUCCUAAAUUGGAAUAUCGGAAUACUGAUGAAGA
rnacentral:sRNA from 1 species